AACCGAGAACUCCUACGGGAGGCAGCAGUGGGGAAUAUUGGACAAUGGGCGCAAGCCUGAUCCGGCCAUGCCGCGUGAGUGAUGAAGGCCCUAGGGUUGUAAAGCUCUUUUGUGCGGGAAGAUAAUGGCGGUACCGCAAGAAUAAGCCCCGGCUAACUUCGUGCCAGCAGCCGCGGUAAUACGAAGGGGGCUAGCGUUGCUCGGAAUCACUGGGCGUAAAGGGUGCGUAGGCGGGUCGUUAAGUCAGGGGUGAAAUCCUGGAGCUCAACUCCAGAACUGCCUUUGAUACUGCGGAUCUUGAGUUCGGAAGAGGUGAGUGGAACUGCGAGUGUAGAGGUGAAAUUCGUAGAUAUUCGCAAGAACACCAGUGGCGAAGGCGGCUCACUGGCCCGAUACUGACGCUGAGGCACGAAAGCGUGGGGAGCAAACAGGAUUAGAAACCCGUGUAGUCCGACUGAGA
rnacentral:rRNA from 1 species